rnacentral:rRNA from 1 species
UCAAGCUUUUAAGGGCGCAGGGUGAAUGCCUUGGCACCAGGAGCCGAUGAAGGACGCGACAAGCUGCGAUAAGCUACGGGGAGGUGCAAAUAACUUUCGAUCCGUAGAUUUCCGAAUGGGGAAACCCACUUGGGGUAAAUGCCCAAGUAUCAAUGAGUGAAUAAAUAGCUUAUUGAGGGGAUACGCCGGGAACUGAAACAUCUAAGUACCGGCAGGAAAAGAAAACAACAGUGAUUCCGCAAGUAGUGGCGAGCGAACGCGGAGAAGCCUAAACCAGUUACUCUUGAGUAACUGGGGUAGUGGACCGGCAUAAUUGACUUUGAGACUUAGCAAAAGCACGGCUGGAAAGCCGUCGCCGAAGAGGGUAAUAGCCCCGUACGCGAAAAGUCAAAGAGCAAGCCGGUAUCCGGAGUACCACGGGACACGUGUAACCCUGUGGGAAGCUGGGGGGCCCACCCCCCAAGGCUAAAUACUACCUGGUGACCGAUAGUGAAGAAGUACCGUGAGGGAAAGGUGAAAAGAACCCCGGAAGGGGAGUGAAAGAGAACCUGAAACCCUGUGUCUACAAGCAGUUGAAGGGCGUUAAUGCCCGACAGCGUACUUUUUGUAGAACGGUCCGGCGAGUUACGUUAUGUUGCAAGGUUAAGUACCUAAGGUACGGAGCCGUAGAGAAGUCGAGUCUGAAUAGGGCGUUAAGUAACAUGAAGUAGACCCGAAACCGAGUGACCUAUCCAUGGGCAGGUUGAAGCUAGAGUAAAAUCUGGUGGAGGACCGAACCCACCAAUGUUGAAAAAUUGGGGGAUGACCUGUGGAUAGCGGAGAAAUUCUAAUCGAACUCGGAGAUAGCUGGUUCUCCCCGAAAUAGCUUUAGGGCUAGCCUCGGGUUAGUCUUGCGGAGGUAAAGCACUGAAUGGGCUAGGGACCUUACCCGGUUACCGAACCCUCUCAAACUAAGAAUGCCGCAAAGAUGAUGCUCGGGAGUCAGACUAUGUGAGAUAAGUCGCAUGGUCAAAAGGGAAACAGCCCAGACCAUCAGCUAAGGUCCCCAAAUUACAGUUAAGUGGAAAAGGAUGUGGAUUUGCUAAGACAACUAGGAUGUUGGCUUAGAAGCAGCCACUCAUUCAAAGAGUGCGUAACAGCUCACUAGUCGAGUGAGUCCGCGCCGAAAAAUUACCGGGUCUUAAACUGUAUACCGAAGCUAUGGAUUUAUGUAUUAAUUUACAUGAGUGGUAGGGGAGCGUACUGUCGUAGGUUGAAGCAUUACCGUGAGGAGAUGUGGACGAAACAGUAGUGAGAAUGCCGGAAUAAGUAGCGAAAGCAUAGUGAGAAUCUAUGCCGUCGAAAGCCUAAGGGUUCCUGGGGAAGGUUCGUCCGCCCAGGGUAAGUCGGGACCUAAGCCGAGGCCGCAAGGCGUAGGUGAUGGACAACAGGUUGAUAUUCCUGUACCACCGAUAUCUGUCUGAGAGAUGUGGGGACGCAGUAGGAUAAACUGAGCCAGCAGCUGGAAUUGCUGGUCCAAGGGAAGUAGGAGUUGUGUAGGUAAAUCCGCACAGCAAUCCAAAAGCCUGAUGGGGAGGGAAAUUUAAAGUACCGAAGCAGUUGAUUCCACACUGACGAGAAAAGCCACUAUCGAGGAUAAAGGUGCCCGUACCGUAAACCGACACAGGUAGGCGAGGAGAGAAUCCUAAGAUGAUCGGAAGAAGUGUUGUUAAGGAACUCGGCAAAUUAACCCCGUAAGUUAGCGAGAAGGGGUGCCACAGCAAUGUGGCCGCAGUGACCAGGCCCAAGCAACUGUUUACCAAAAACACAGGUCUCUGCUAAAUCGAAAGAUGAUGUAUAGGGGCUGACGCCUGCCCAGUGCUGGAAGGUUACGGGAAUCUGUUAGCGCAAGCGAAGCAGUGAACUUAAGCCCCAGUAAACGGCGGCCGUAACUAUAACGGUCCUAAGGUAGCGAAAUUCCUUGUC